rnacentral:lncRNA from 1 species
CCUUUCAAGAAUGGGGUCCCCAUUUCCCCCAGUCCCAUGGAGCUCCUGCAUACAAGCCCCACUGAUCUUCAAUGCCAGAUGCUCUGGGGCUCUUUCUCCCAGUGCCAGAUCCCCAGGCAAGGGGAUUUGAUGUGGAGCUCAAAAUUCUCACUCUUGUAAAUGAGUCUCUGUGAUACAGCAAGUUUCCAAUCUGUGGGCUUCCCACCCGAAAGGUAUGGGGUUGCUUCUAUCAUGUAAUCACCCCUCCUACUGUCUUGAUGUGGCCUCCUCUUUGUCUUCUGGAAUAGGAUAUCUUUUUGAAAGUUUCCAGUUCAUUUUGUUGAAGGUUAUUCAGCAUUUGGUUGUAGUUUUGUUGUUUUCAUGAGAGAAGAUGAGCUCCAGUCCUUCUAUUCUGCAUUCUUAAUCCCCAUCAUGAACAAUUAUUUUAAAACCUUUUUUCCUCCACUCAGAUUUAGGGCACAUAAAAAAUAUGCUAGUAUGUUAAUUUUUGAUUCAGGAUUCUCAAAGGAGGCACAGCAUCAAUUCAGAUAAAUUUGAUGUGAUCAGAGAGAUCUCAACUUUGUUAAUUCUUGAAGACAUAUUUGCCAUUUGAAAUAGUAAUUUGCUGAGUGGAUAAUUGAGAAAACUGAGUUUGGACCAUAUUUCUGGUCUGAAUAAAUUAUGAAUAUCUCAUAAUUGUCAGUGUAGACUCGUGUGAAACAUUUACUUUGAAUUUUGCUGAAGAUAUUAUUCAUAUUUAAGUAUUUAUUUGUGGUAAAUAGGUAUAGAUUGGUACAUACUUAGGUUUUGCUUUAAACAGUCACUUUUUUUUCAAAUCAUGAAUUUUUUUUUUCUCUUUUUUGAGGACAGUUCAUGUAAAAAUGGAUUAUCUUUAGCAUGAUUUUAGUAUUGUCUUUUCUUAUGGCCUGUUGAUUUUAAAACAAUGUUUUAGCCUCAUCACUGUAAUUUUUAUUUGGUGUGUGAUUUUCUGUCAUGUCCAAUAUAUUAUUUAAUAAUAAAAGUUUUAAAAAAUUCCUGAAUAGCACAAUUUAUUUUUUUUCUGAUUAUGAAAUACGCUGAAGUUUAGAAAAAUGUGGUCACUGAUUUUAGUGACCAUACUACAACCUAAUUUUACAUUUCUUUGGUCAUUUUAGGAACCAUAUAGUUUUUCUCCAACUGGAAUGUCUACCCAGGACUUGAAAUUUGAACUGUAGGGACUUCUAUAUUCCUGAAACAAGUUAGGGCCUCAAAUACAAUCCAGUCAAGUUCUUACUCAUGCAUAAGCUCCCCAAGGGCAGGGGUUUUACCUCUGUUGUUCUCAAGAGCCUAAUGCAGUGUCAGGCACAUAGUAAUGUAGGAUCAAGCGUGCUUAUGUAAUUUUAAAACACAGUCCCUCAGUUCUUUUGCUCCAGAGUCCAAAUAAUAACAAUACUAGAAACACAGAGUGAAACAGGAAUAACAUUUGUCUCAGCAAAAUGACAUGUAUAUGGUUCUCAGAAAACUAGCUGUAUCUUCUUGUUUUUAGAACUGUAAGAUUAUUAAAUAAACUUCCGGACUGAGUGUUUAAGAUGGUGUUUCCUAUGCACAUAACUGGAUGGAUAAUCAGAAAUUCUGAGAGAUGAAGCUCUCAUUUUGAGGAAAUGCAAAACAAUGGAAUACAUUUUAUUACUUUGCAUUUAAAUCAUGGGGGCAUUGAAUACUUAGAAGUGUGUUCUAGCUAUUCCUGUCCUCUUUCUUAGUAGGCAGUUAUUUUCACUGACAGGUGAGAACGUUUUACCUGUUUUUGUUUGAUAGAUAUGAGCUCUUAGGGCCUGCUUUUUCCUUCCAUGUGCCCUCUCCCCUUCUUCUUCCCAAGUAAGUUGUUGAAACAGGACUAUUUUGAGGUAAAGUGAGGAAGAAGAGAAGUACACUCUCUGCUGGCUCUCUCUAAACCAAACGGAAAGAUCAAAGUUAGGGUCAGAGCUAAUAUUGUCAACUUAUAAAAGAACCUACUCAUCAUGUCUAACUUUCUUUGACGGUACCUACAAAGGCUUCUGUAUCCAAGGAUGAUUUUAUUGUCAAUAUGCAAUCAGGCAGGUCAAUGUUCAUUUCAUUUGUGAAGAAAACCACAUCAAGCAAAUUUCAUUAUAAAACCUAAAAAUCAAUAUACAUUCAUGCCAGUGUUCUCUAAAUAAUGAUUGUGAGUUCUCCUUUACCCUGAAAUAACAUUUUUUAAGGAUUGGAUUUUUACUAAAAGAAGAAAGAAGCCAUGCUUUUUCCUUGGACAGUAUUUGUACUGGAUAUUAAGACAGUGAUAUUAAGAAUGACUUUUGGAGUCCAUUUUCUUUUAAAUGUGUUUAUAGGUCCCUUAUGGUGCCUACAUACGUUGACACUGACCAGAGUGAGAAAAUACACUGACGUGUCAACUGGUAAGUAUCAGAGCAAUGAUGAAAAUCAUAGCUAAUAGUGGUUCAAUAUGCACUAUUUAUGGACCAUAUGGUGAGAAUUUUCAUUUGAUUUUUGUAUUUAAUCUUUAUAACCAUCCUUGUCAGGAGUCCAUAGUUUGUGUAGGCUAAAUGCUAUCAGCUACAACCACCACAGAUUAGAUGUUUUUACAUAGGCGUCAUUCCAGUUGUGGCCCACCCUUUCACAGAGCUUCCAAAUCCUAUGCUGGAUUCCCUUUUCCCUCUGACGUAAGAAGGGAGAAAGAAAGUGAGGAGAGCAAGAGUGAUUUUACAUGGAAAGGCAUGUGUCCUUUUUUCCACAUUCCAUUGGGGAGAAUUCAGUCCUGUGGCCACACCUAAUUGCAAGGGUGUCUGGGAAAUGCAAUCCAGCCAUAGGAACAAUGGAGAAAGGAAUAUAUUUACAGAAAAAGUAAGUAGCCAGUCUUUCCCACAAGGGGGUGUUAUUCCCCUUUUUAUAGAUAGGAAACUAAGGUUUAAAGUUCAGUUAAUAUUGACAUCAUUUGGAUAAGUUAUGGUAAUGCCAGUUCUGCCUAAACAAUGCUUGAUAGGGGAUCUCACUUCCCAGAACAGGGAUUGAAGCCAGGCUGCUGAGGUGAAAGUGUCUCCAACAGACCACCAGGAAACACCUUAAAAAUCCACGUUUUUAAGCACUGCCUGGGGUGGGUAUAUACACCUUACUGUGAUUUACCCUGGAGACACAUGGUAUCUUCCUCAUGAAAAGAUUAGCCAGGGACUUACAAGGCUGAAAUUUUCACUUUCUCUCUAUGAAGGAUCCUCCACUAAACCUUGUUGUAGUGCCACUGAUGAGGCUAAAACCCUAAAACAGAAGUCAUGAGUACACCCAACUGGGGCACAUUGGAGGAAGCAGCAGGCAUUCCCUGGGUUCACUUUUCUUCCUGUAGAGACAAUAGGGAGGAAAUGAGAGAGAGUUCACCGUCAGGUCUCUCAGGUCUCUUUUUGGAAAACUCUCCCAUCCUUCUGGGUUGCAUCAUCCAGCCCCCGAGGAGCUGCUUAGGAAGCUGUAUUCCACAUGUGCUGUGGUGAUCCAUCUAAAUAUGAAAAUAACAGGGGGCAGCAGAGGUUUUUGGGCAUGUGGCAGGUGGUCCUCAGGAGGCUAAAUCUAGUAUGCUUGCCAUCAACCAUGUAGACCGAGGUGGAACAAAGUGGCAGAGUGUCCAAUAGUAGGGGAGGCAGAAUAAACUUUGGGGAGGUGUGUGUGAUGUGACGGGUGCAGUUGAUCAUAGUUAGGACCCUAGGUUCUGGCACACUCAAGUCCUUACUGGGCCCAUGAAUAUGUUAGCUUUCUUUUCCUUUCCCCAUCCCCAUAUGUGACUAAAUACUACUCUUUUAUUUAGAGCCUCAACUUUGUUUCCUCCUCUUGCCCCAUCUUUCUUUUCAUUGCUUCCUUAUCAUCUCUUCAUUCUCUGUUUAAAUGGCCCUACUUCCUUUACUCCAUCCAAAGCUCCUUGGAAGCAAGGGGGUUUUAUUAUUAUUAACUGUUUUUUACCCCAAAGUAAACACAUAGUAGAAAAGCAAGUAGGAAUGAAUUGAUGAAUGAUAAUGACAACUCAUAUUUAUUAACAUUUGCCAUAUUAUAAGCAGUAUAUCAAUUUCCCUAAUAAUUGUAUUUUCAGAGCAUUAUUAAGGUAGUAUCUGUUGCUUUAAUUCUUUUUCUGUCGGUUCUAAGAAUAUUAUGCACUCAUAGGAAUGUGUAAUUUUAUGCCAGUCUACACUCCAUAUAGAUUUUGUCUUUUCUUAUGUCAUAUAUAUCGUUUUCCCAGAUGAAUUACAAUCAAUUCUUAUUUUUAAUUCCCAUAUUAAAGGCAUUCCAAACCAAAUGUUUUUAACAACUACCACUCAAGAGGAGUUUAAAGAACAACUUAGCUAAUUCUUCUUAUUGAAUUUAAAAUUUGUUUUUACUUUGUUGUCAGUUAAAAAUAUUGAGACAAGUUUGAGGCAUUGUGAUUUAUAAGCAGAGUAUGUACUUGGUCAUUCAAAUCAUCAAAUAUACGCUUUGCUUUUCCCAUAUAUAUUUAGUCUUCAUCCCUGGUUCCUGAGUUACAGCUGCCAAAAGUCUUGGAAUGUCCUAAGUACUAAGCGUGACCAAGGUGUAUCUUGGCUUACACUUAGCAUCCUGAGUUGGAGGGGGUCUUGGAACCUCCAGUUUGUAGCCUGUUGGUCAGAAGCACGGGGAACAACCUGGGUUUGUGACUGGCAUCUGAAAUGCAAAAGGAGGCAGUCCUGUAGGACUGAUCUCUUAAUCUGUGGAGCCCAAUGCUGCGUCUGGGUACAUAGUGUCAGAAUUGAGUUGUAGGAAUUCCCGUCACGGCUGAGUAGAAACGAACUGACUAGUAACCAUGGGAAUGCGGGUUCGAUCCCUGGCCUCCAACCAUCAGUGGGUUAAGGAUCCAGUGUUGCUGUGAGCUGUGGUAUAGAUUGCAGACACAGCUUGGAUCUGGUGUUUCUAUGUCUGUGGUAUAUGUCAGCAGCUGUAGGUCCAGUUCAACCCCUUGCCUGGGAACCUCUGUAUGCUGCAGGUGCAGCC